UGUCAUGCUUGACACCAAGGUAUAUAUAUGUGUUUAUCACUUUUUUUUUUAUUCUGUUUGACUUUUAUUCGGGAUUUUUGCAUCUGGGUAUACGCUAUUCAUGUUACUUAUCGAUGCUGCAUAUCACUGUUCUUGGUUCGAUAUUGAUUUUGUUUCCAUCUCUGUCACCUGUGGAUGUAGCAUGCAUGUCUUUAUUUUGAACUUUCUGUAACCGGUUUUUUUCCCCCUUUUUAAUGCAAACAAGCGGUUAUUUUUAUGUUUGGUUCAUUUGUAUGAUUAUAUUUUUGAUCAAUUUUGGGAUUUCUGGGAGGCUGUGUUAUAAAUUUCCCGUUUUAAACUGGGAGUCGCUAGCUGUUUGUUUACAUCAGAUGCCAGUUUGUUUUUUUGUAACUUGAAAAACCGAUUUGUACUAAUUCUUAUCAGUUUCAUAUUUGGAUCUGGCACAAUUAAGGAUCCAAACAAAG
rnacentral:misc_RNA from 1 species